AGCAAGGGCGGUCUCUAUCGUCCAGUCGCACGCUGACCUCCUUCGCGGUGGGGUGGAUGAGUGGUGAACGGGUGAGUAACACGCGAGUAACCUUCCCUUGACUCUUGGAUAAUCCUGGGAAACCGGGUCUAAUACCGGAUACGACCGGUCACCGCAUGGUGGUUGGUGGAAAGAUUUAUCGGUCUUGGAUGGACUCGCGGCCUAUCAGCUGGUUGGUGGGGUAAUGGCCUACCAAGGCGACGACGGGUAGCCGGCCUGAGAGGGUGACCGGCCACACUGGGACUGAGACACGGCCCAGACACAUACGGGAGGCAGCAGUGGGGAAUAUUGCACAAUGGGCGCAAGCCUGAUGCAGCGACGCCGCGUGAGGGAUGACGGCCUUCGGGUUGUAAACCUCUUUCAGUAGGGAAGAAGCGAAAGUGACGGUACCUGCAGAAGAAGCGCCGGCUAACUACGUGCCAGCAGCCGCGGUAAUACGUAGGGCGCGAGCGUUAUCCGGGAAUUAUUGGGCGUAAAGAGCUCGUAGGCGGUUUGUCGCGUCUGCCGUGAAAGUCCGGGGCUUAACCCCGGAUCUGCGGUGGGUACGGGCAGACUGGAGUGCAGUAGGGGAGACUGGAAUUCCUGGUGUAGCGGUGAAAUGCGCAGAUAUCAGGAGGAACACCGAUGGCGAAGGCAGGUCUCUGGGCUGUUACUGACGCUGAGGAGCGAAAGCAUGGGGAGCGAACAGGAUUAGAUACCCUGGUAGUCCAUGCCGUAAACGUUGGGCACUAGGUGUGGGGGCCAUUCCACGGUUUCCGCGCCGCAGCUAACGCAUUAAGUGCCCCGCCUGGGGAGUACGGCCGCAAGGCUAAAACUCAAAGGAAUUGACGGGGGCCCGCACAAGCGGCGGAGCAUGCGGAUUAAUUCGAUGCAACGCGAAGAACCUUACCAAGGCUUGACAUGUUCUCGACCGCCACAGAGAUGUGGUUUCCCCUUUGGGGCGGGUUCACAGGUGGUGCAUGGUUGUCGUCAGCUCGUGUCGUGAGAUGUUGGGUUAAGUCCCGCAACGAGCGCAACCCUCGUUCCAUGUUGCCAGCGGGUUAUGCCGGGGACUCAUGGGAGACUGCCGGGGUCAACUCGGAGGAAGGUGGGGACGACGUCAAAUCAUCAUGCCCCUUAUGUCUUGGGCUUCACGCAUGCUACAAUGGCCGGUACAAUGGGUUGCGAUACUGUGAGGUGGAGCCAAUCCCAAAAAGCCGGUCUCAGUUCGGAUUGGGGUCUGCAACUCGACCCCAUGAAGUCGGAGUCGCUAGUAAUCGCAGAUCAGCAACGCUGCGGUGAAUACGUUCCCGGGCCUUGUACACACCCCCCUUCAAUCACGAAAGUCGGUAACACCCGAAGCCGGUGGCCCAACCCUACCGGGGACCACCUAUAGUUGGCCUGCUCUCCCCCCCCA
rnacentral:rRNA from 1 species